GAUGAACGCUGGCGGCGUGCCUAAUACAUGCAAGUAGAACGCUGAAGGAGGAGCUUGCUCUUCUGGAUGAGUUGCGAACGGGUGAGUAACGCGUAGGUAACCUGCCUGGUAGCGGGGGAUAACUAUUGGAAACGAUAGCUAAUACCGCAUGACAACAGUUAUUGCAUGAUAACUGUUUAAAAGGGGCAACUGCUCCACUACCAGAUGGACCUGCGUUGUAUUAGCUAGUUGGUGAGGUAACGGCUCACCAAGGCGACGAUACAUAGCCGACCUGAGAGGGGGAUCGGCCACACUGGGACUGAGACACGGCCCAGACGCCUACGGGAGGCAGCAGUAGGGAAUCUUCGGCAAUGGACGGAAGUCUGACCGAGCAACGCCGCGUGAGUGAAGAAGGUUGUCGGAUCGUAAAGCUCGGUUGUAAGAGAAGAACGAGUGUGAGAGUGGAAAGUUCACACUGUGACGGUAUCUUACCAGAAAGGGACGGCUAACUACGUG
rnacentral:rRNA from 1 species